rnacentral:tRNA from 1 species
GAAUUAGCUCAGUUGGUAGAGUGUCCUGAUAGAUUCGGGAAGGUCAUCGGUUCGAUUCCGAUAUUCUCCA